rnacentral:rRNA from 1 species
CCUACGGGCGGCAGCAGUGGGGAAUAUUGGACAAUGGGGGGAACCCUGAUCCAGCCAUGCCGCGUGUGUGAAGAAGGCCCUCGGGUUGUAAAGCACUUUCAGUGAGGAAGAACGCCUGGUGGUUAAUACCCAUCAGGAAAGACAUCACUCACAGAAGAAGCACCGGCUAACUCCGUGCCAGCAGCCGCGGUAAUACGGAGGGUGCGAGCGUUAAUCGGAAUUACUGGGCGUAAAGCGCGCGUAGGUGGCUUGAUAAGCCGGUUGUGAAAGCCCCGGGCUCAACCUGGGAACGGCAUCCGGAACUGUCAAGCUAGAGUGCAGGAGAGGAAGGUAGAAUUCCCGGUGUAGCGGUGAAAUGCGUAGAGAUCGGGAGGAAUACCAGUGGCGAAGGCGGCCUUCUGGACUGACACUGACACUGAGGUGCGAAAGCGUGGGUUGCAAACAGGAUUAGAUACCCUGGUAGUC